rnacentral:rRNA from 1 species
AAGGAUCAUUACCGAGUGAGGGCCCUUUGGGUCCAACCUCCCACCCGUGUUUAUUUUACCUUGUUGCUUCGGCGGGCCCGCCUUUACUGGCCGCCGGGGGGCUCACGCCCCCGGGCCCGCGCCCGCCGAAGACACCCCCGAACUCUGUCUGAAGAUUGAAGUCUGAGUGAAAAUAUAAAUUAUUUAAAACUUUCAACAACGGAUCUCUUGGUUCCGGCAUCGAUGAAGAACGCAGCGAAAUGCGAUACGUAAUGUGAAUUGCAAAUUCAGUGAAUCAUCGAGUCUUUGAACGCACAUUGCGCCCCCUGGUAUUCCGGGGGGCAUGCCUGUCCGAGCGUCAUUGCUGCCCUCAAGCCCGGCUUGUGUGUUGGGCCCCGUCCUCCGAUUCCGGGGGACGGGCCCGAAAGGCAGCGGCGGCACCGCGUCCGGUCCUCGAGCGUAUGGGGCUUUGUCACCCGCUCUGUAGGCCCGGCCGGCGCUUGCCGAUCAACCCAAAUUUUUAUCCAGGUUGACCUCGGAUCAGGUAGGGAUACCCGCUGAACUUAAGCAU